rnacentral:misc_RNA from 1 species
UGUCGCUGGCUGUCCUUUUGCAGCAUGUGCACGCCUUCUCUUUUCAUCCACACACACCCCUGUGCACUUGUGAGACUGGAGACCGUAAAAAAGCCUCCAUCCUGUUAAAUCCUAAUCCAAACCCUUUUAUUGGACCGGAUGGNCUUUGUGGNACCCCUUCUUUGACCUANNUUCCACCAACGAACCCCUGGCCCCCCCCUUCAAUAAAAAACCCACCAAAAGGCAAUAAUUAAGGNAAUUUGAAAAAUCCANGGANCCUUCAAACCUUUAAACCCCCCUUGCCCUCCUGGUAAUCCCUGGAACCUUGCCGGUUGAAUAACCUUGAAAUUUUCAAAGNAACCUUUUGGUAAUUCCACCUGNCCUGGUUUGGAAUUGGAAGGCCUUGGCAAAGGCCCCANCCUGUCCCUCUUAAUAAAAUAACUUGAACCCCANAAUNCCCUUGNUUCCAUUCGGGGGGAUAAUNACCCCUCCUUAAGAACCUUGAAAAAGGGGGCCCGGCAAGGACAAUGAACCCNUUUCAAAAACCCCUUGGCUUGGAAAAUUAACUUUUGGAACCAAAUCCAAANCNGGGAGAAAUUCCCCUUGAACUU